UCUGUCAAUGGUUCUGAACCUGUUCCUGCCUCAUCUGUAUAAUUUGACUGCUUUCACAUCUCUGAUUUGGGACCAGCAUACAAGGUGAAAACAAACAACAACCAACAAAACCCUUAUUAUCUCACGUGGAGGACAAAUGUCAAAGGAUACCUAAGAAAACCUAAUGAAAAGAAAAAAUACAUAGAGGAGAAGAGGGGACAAAAAGUUCAGAAGAAUGUUACACUCAGCCCUAGUAGGGCAUUGAGGGGAUCCAAAGCCAAGCGGGAGGAAUCUUGAAACUGAUGGCCAUCCUGCUGGGGAGAAUGACAUGCCAGCUGAGUAUCUGAUUCUGAAUAUACACACAUCUAACCUUCAGGAACCAUGAUAGGCACACAGAGCUCUCAAAGAAGUCCAUUUAAAGAAAGAAGAGGAGACACAUCACCCUUCACUCUGAGAUUCCAAUAAAAAUAGCGAGAG